UGCCAUAGCUCAGUUGGUAGAGCAAAGGACUGAAAAUCCUUGUGUCCCUGGUUCGAUUCCCG
rnacentral:tRNA from 1 species